UUUUUGCUCGUUUGGUAGCUAAAAAGAGAGCUAAGUGUGAAAUUUUUGAAAGAAGCACAGGAUGAUCACACAUUGUAUCUAUGUUGGCAAGCACAUAGACCUUUGCAACAGAUUAAGUAUGCAGUACUGCUCAUCGUUUAAGUUGAGAAUAGGGGACACUGAUCAUUGCUUUGAUUUCAGCUUUGUUCACUGAUUCAAAGAGAGUAGAAGGUGGAAUCGCAAGCAGUGAAAGCAAUGAUAUGAUCACCCGAAGAGCAAAGCUCAACCGUCCCGAUUUCUCUUCGAAAAGCUAGAGGAUCUCAGAACUCCUCAAUAUGUUAAUAUUUAUUUCUUCUUCCCCUCAGAACACAAU
rnacentral:lncRNA from 1 species